CUAAACUGUAUGUAAAAUGAGCCGAGACAUCACCUGAUUCCCGUAUCCUAAGGGGGCGUCUAUUUGGUGGAUUUUUCCUUAGCGGUUGUUAACUAGCAAAUAAGCCCACUGAAUGGAAUGUUUAGUAAUGACAGUGGUCAUAGAGACUACUACUGUCAUU